UACGGGGGGGGCAAGCGUUGUUCGGAAUUACUGGGCGUAAAGGGCCAGUAGGCGGCCAACUAAGUCGGAUGUGAAAUCCCCAGGCUUAACCUGGGAACUGCAUCCGAUACUGGAUGGCUUGAAUCCGGGAGAGGGAUGCAGAAUUCCAGGUGUAGCGGUGAAAUGCGUAGAUAUCUGGAGGAAUACCGGUGGCGAAGGCGGCAUCCUGGACCGGCAUUGACGCUGAGGAGCGAAAGCUAGGGGAGCAAACGGG
rnacentral:rRNA from 1 species